GACCCGAUGGUGUACUGGUUAGCACGUCUGCUUACUUUAUUGUAGUGUGUAUAUAAGCAGGAAGUUCCCGUUCAAUUCGGGGUCGGGUCA